CCUCACACAGCCCCGCCACGCCGCCUGCGGGACCGCGGAUCCCCAGAGUGCAGGUCCCUGGAAGCCAGCAGAACAACUGGAGGGUCCACCUGCCGGGCUACGCGAAAAGUUAAGAGUUCAAGUUGACUGGUGCAAAUCAGGAUCCAAAUAAGGUCCACGCACAGGAUUUGGAUGUUGGGUCUCUUUUUAACCUGAAGCUGCCCCUCCCAUCCUGCCUCGCACCACUGACUUGUUGGAAAAGAAAAGCUGGUGCUCCCACAUCAGUGGUUCCACACCCACAGAUUCAACCAAGCUUGGGUUCAGUCAACCUCGGAUGCUGUAGUCCUGUAGUACGUGUACUUACUGAAAAAAACCCGCAUAUAAAUGGACCCACACAGUUCAAACAUGUUCAGGAUCAAUUAUAUUUCGUUAGAGGUUACAAAAUAGUAAUUUUUCAAAAAAAUGUGACAAUGAAUAUAUGUAUGUUCAUGUAUAACUGAAAAAUUGUGCUCUACGCUGGAAUUUGACACAUUGUAAAAUGACUAUAA